rnacentral:rRNA from 1 species
UACGUAGGGGGCAAGCGUUGUCCGGAUUUAUUGGGCGUAAAGAGCGUGUAGGCGGUUUGGUAGGUCCGCUGUGAAAACUCGAGGCUCAACCUCGAGACGCCGGUGGAAACCAUCAGGCUAGAGUCCGGAAGAGGAGAGUGGAAUUCCCGGUGUAGAGGUGAAAUUCGUAGAUAUCUGGAGGAACACCGGUGGCGAAAGCGGCUCACUGGAUCGAAACUGACACUGAGGUGCGAAAGCUAGGGUAGCAAACGGG